rnacentral:rRNA from 1 species
GUAGGGAAUAUUGGGCAAUGGGCGAAAGCCUGACCCAGCAACGCCGCGUGUGUGACGAAGGUCUUCGGAUCGUAAAACACUUUUCUGGGAGAUGAGAAAGGACAGUAUCCCAGGAAUAAGCCUCGGCUAACUACGUGCCAGCAGCCGCGGUAAAACGUAGGAGGCAAGCGUUAUCCGGAUUUACUGGGCGUAAAGCGCGUGCAGGCGGUUCGGCAAGUUGGAUGUGAAAUCUCCCGGCUCAACUGGGAGAGGUCGUUCAAUACUACCGGACUUGAGGAUGGUAGAGGAAGGUGGAAUUCCCGGUGUAGUGGUGAAAUGCGUAGAUAUCGGGAGGAACACCAGUGGCGAAAGCGGCCUUCUGGACCAUUCCUGACGCUCAGACGCGAAAGCUAGGGGAGCGAACGGGAUUAGAUACCCGGGUAGUCC